rnacentral:lncRNA from 1 species
GACUCCAUCCAGCACCUGCACCUGCAUCAUGGCUGAAGCACCACAAAGAUACUAAAACUGGAUUCAGGAAUCUCAACUGCAACCUCCACACUCUAGAAUGAAUCUGAGAAUUGGGCUCUUAGUGCAACGCCAGUUCCAAAAUCCGGCCUUGAUAAGUGCACCUCCCAAAUAGAGUAAGCUUGUCAAUACUCACCCAACCCAGUACAACCAAGUAUGCGUAUAGGCUUUAAGAAUUAAAGUAUGUUUUGGGUAGUGAAAAAGAGGAUAACCAUAAAGAUUUGAUGCAUUUGGGACUACUACAAAUUUAUCAUAUAAUUAAUUUUAAAAUUAAUAUAAUUAUGAACAAUAUAUAUAUAUAUAUAUAUUUAAUUUUAUUACUUUUAUUUAUCUUAACUUUUAUUACCAUAUGAACUUCUGGUUUUGGUAUAAUUUCUCAUUCAAUUGAGUACCUGCAGAUGGAUGAACGGGCACGCUUUCCUCCAGGAAUGAUUACAUUGGGAUCAUUUGGUUACACUACUGAUGAUGAGUCACAGAAGUUUCUGUCACUUGCAAAAGAGGUAUAUUUUGAUAGCCUAGUUAAUUUAAUAAACCCUUAUGUGCUUGUUCUGUUGACUGACUGAGUUUUGGUCUUGAUUUGUCGACUUACAUAUGGUUUUCACACUAUACAAGCUUAAUAAAUUUUUUUUGCUUAGGAUUUGCUAAGCUGAUACGAAAACAGCUGCUUGGAAUCAAAUCACGAUGUUAUCAAUCUCAUGCAUUUUUAAAGUCUAUUUUAUAAUAUUGAGAGGGGUGGAUGUUCCUAUCUAUUCUUCCUUUUAGGAAACCC